rnacentral:rRNA from 1 species
AUUGAACGCUGGCGGCAGGCCUAACACAUGCAAGUCGAGCGAGUGGCGGACGGGAGAGUAAUGUAUGGGAAUCUGCCCGAUAGAGGGGGAUAACUACUGGAAACGGUGGCUAAUACCGCAUCCUAUCGGAUGCACACAUAUGGGAUUAGCUAGUAGGUGGGGUAACGGCUCACCUAGGUGACGAUCCCUAGGUGGUCUGAGAGGAGGAUCGGCCAAACUGGAACUGAGACACGGUCCAGACUCCGACGGGAGGCAGCAGUGGGGAAUAUGGCACAAUGGGCGCAAGCCUGAUGCAGCCAUGCCGCGUGUAUGAAGAAGGCCUUCGGGUUGUAAAGUACUUUCAGCGGGGAGGCGUUACCCGCAGAAGAAGCACCGGCUAACUCCGUGCCAGCAGCCGCGGUAAUUC